rfam:Danio rerio chromosome 4, GRCz11 reference primary assembly.
GCCCGGUUAGCUUAUCGGUAGAGCAUGAGACUCUUAAUCACAGGGUUGUGGGUUCGAGCCCCACGUUUGGUG